CCUACGGGCGGCAGCAGUGGGGAAUAUUGGACAAUGGGGGCAACCCUGAUCCAGCCAUGCCGCGUGUGUGAAGAAGGCCCUCGGGUUGUAAAGCACUUUCAGUGAGGAAGAACGCCUGGUGGUUAAUACCCAUCAGGAAAGACAUCACUCACAGAAGAAGCACCGGCUAACUCCGUGCCAGCAGCCGCGGUAAUACGGAGGGUGCGAGCGUUAAUCGGAAUUACUGGGCGUAAAGCGCGCGUAGGUGGCUUGAUAAGCCGGUUGUGAAAGCCCCGGGCUCAACCUGGGAACGGCAUCCGGAACUGUCAAGCUAGAGUGUAGGAGAGGAAGGUAGAAUUCCCGGUGUAGCGGUGAAAUGCGUAGAGAUCGGGAGGAAUACCAGUGGCGAAGGCGGCCUUCUGGACUGACACUGACACUGAGGUGCGAAAGCGUGGGUAGCAAACAGGAUUAGAUACCCCUGUAGUC
rnacentral:rRNA from 1 species